CUAAUUUUUUCUCAGCUAAUUGCCUUCCAUUUGAGCUUACAAUUAUAAAUCUGUAAUGAGGGUUUUGAGUAUUGCUGUGCUUUGUGUACCUUGAGUUGUAUUUCAGUUGGAGCGAAUAUAAGGAUCGACUUUGGUUUUUCUUGGAUCUAAUAGUCUAGUAUGAACAACAUGACAUUCAAGGAAGGUUGUAUGGUUGAGGUUCGCCGUUCUGAUGGUGGUAUUUUUCAGUCUUGGUUCCGAGCAAGGAUCAUUUCAUGUAAUGCAGAGUAUUACAAAGUCGAGUAUAACAACCUUUUAAAUGACCAGAUUUAAUGCAAAACUUGUUGUGGAAGAUGUGUCAGUUGAUGCAGUUCGACCAGAACCCCCGCACAUGACAGAAACAAGAAAAUUGGCCAAAGCAUCACGUAUUUCAAUUAGGGCUUCGAUAUUCUAAUACACCUCUCCAGCUUUCCCAGAUCCUAGCGGAAUAGCAUUCGCCCCAGUGCCAAAGAGUAGAAUGUCAAAUGAUAUGUUUCCUAUCUAUCUAUCCAUGUUCUUUUGCCUUUCAUGGAAACACCGCAGCUUUGGUCGUAUUAUGACGUUUCCGCAAAAUUUGGCUCCUCUCCACCUCUACAUUUUUUCCCUAAUAUUUUUAAUAAGAAAAAGGAUUUUCAAUUA